ACACACACGCACGGAGCUUACAGGCACGGUGUAAGGGACACAACUCUGAACCCUGACGUGCCGGAAGUAGACACCGACACAACAUGGCGUCUCUCUUCUUUCGAACUGGACGGUCUGCUGCAGAACGAUGGACGCACAACUAUGGCUCCAAGAUUGUGGCUGCUAUUUCACCUGCUGCUUUGUGUGGCCACAGACUGCAGCAGCAACGCAAUCUCUCUAUUCAUGAACAUCUGAGCAUGGGGUUAUUAAAAGACGCUGGUGUGGCAGUUCCAAGGUUCAAAGUUGCAUCUACUCCAGAUGAAGCUUUUAAAUAUGCCAGUGAAAUCGGUCAAAUUAGUGGAGCACCAGAUGUUGUGGUUAAAGCUCAGGUGCUGGCUGGUGGGCGUGGCAAGGGCAAAUUUGACAGUGGUCUGAGGGGUGGAGUCAAACUGGUCUUUUCGCCAGAGGAGGCAAAGGAAAUAGCUGAAAAAAUGAUAAACCACAAAUUGUUUACCAAACAAACGGGGAAAGAUGGACGACUGUGUCAGAAGGUCAUGAUUGCUGAGCGACUUUAUUCUCGGCGUGAAUACUACUUUGGCAUCACAAUGGAAAGAAACUUUGGAGGUCCAGUAUUAGUUGGAAGUUCACAGGGGGGUGUCAACAUUGAGGAAGUAGCCGCAGAAAACCCCUCAGCCAUAAUCAAAGAACCUGUAGAUAUCAUCAGUGGCAUUACCCGUGAUCAAGCUGUGCAUGUUGCAAAAGAAAUGGGCUUCAGUGACCAGUGCAUACAAAAAGCUGCUGAUUAUAUUAUCAAAAUGUACAAUGAUGUGUUCCUCAAAUUUGAUGCUUCAAUGGUGGAGAUCAACCCCAUGUCUGAAGACAACCAUGGAGAGGUUUACUGCAUGGAUGCCAAGAUCAACUUUGAUGACAAUGCAGCCUAUAGACAGAAGGAGAUUUUUAGUUUGAGAGACUGGACCCAAGAAGAUGAGAGAGAUCACAGGGCAGCCUUAGCUGACCUGAACUACAUUGGGUUGGAGGGCAAUAUUGGCUGUUUAGUGAAUGGUGCUGGACUUGCUAUGGCAACUAUGGACAUCAUCAAGCUCCAUGGUGGUACGCCAGCCAAUUUUUUGGAUGUAGGGGGUGGCGCCACAGCCCAGCAAGUCACUGAAGCAUUCCGUUUGAUUACUUCGGACAAAAAGUUGCAGGUGAAUGCGGUGUUGGUAAACAUUUUUGGCGGUAUCAUGCGCUGUGACAUUAUUGCUCAAGGCAUCUGUGCAGCAGCCACUGAACUAGAUAUGAAAAUUCCCAUUGUGGUGCGAUUGCAAGGAACACAGGUUGAUGAUGCUAAAGCCAUUAUUGCAUCCAGCAAUCUGAAAAUUCUUGCCUGUGAUAACCUGGAUGAGGCAGCACGCAUGGUUGUGAAGCUGUCCACAAUUGUAGAUUUAGCACGUGAAGCUUCUGUUGAUGUCAAGUUUGAACUACCACUUUAAGUAAAGGAAUAUAUAUACCAUGUCUUCACUGAGUCUGCACAAUGUAAGAUGAUGAUCUACUUCCAUCUUUGAAGGUGUCAAGUAAUCAGCUGCUUUUUUCAAGGUCUUCUCUCAGCUACCAUACGCAUCUGUGAGCCUCUUGCUUCUGGUCCUUCCUCUUGCUGCAACACAAUUAUUGUCAGCAGCACACACCUUGCAAGUGUCUUUGCUACAUUGUGAUAAUUGCUGGCAACAUAUCUUACAGGUGUUUGUGCUGUAGUGUGACAGUUGUUUGCAGCUUGUACCUGAAAAAUGAUUGUACUAAAGCUAUCCGAUACCAGCUUCUGUGCUACAGAUGUGAUACUUCUGUUACAGUGACUGUUGUUGAUGCUACUAAGAAAUCUCUGCCCAAGACAUGGAUAUUUCUUGACAAGCUGAAGUUGUGGUGCUUUAAGCAGUUGUUUUUUGCCCUUUUCAAGGAAAUGCUUUUGCAACAUGAUACACAAAAAAAUCUACAAUUGUGGAUAGUUUCACAAUAUGCAUCCCAGCUAUUUUAAUAUGAUGCCCUUUGACAUGUAUUGACGUGCUAUUUAUCAAUCUGCACCCCUUUUCAGUUUCUCUAUGUAGAGGUUAGCUGUGUGCUGUAGCAGUAGUGUACUUGGCAUUGUUUGUGAUUACCUCUGAUUAUUCUGUUGACAUAACUUCUUUUCCAAGCCUAUUGCUGUUUCAGUGAGCAAUAUUGUCGCUUACAAUUGUCAUGGAUGAUUUCUUAGCCAGGUAUGUAGUCACAGAGUUCCAUUCAGCUGUGUUAUUGUCACCAGAAGGAGAGUCAUCUGAUCGCACUCAGCUGCCUAUAUAUCUUGUGCAGGCAUUACAAAUCUGAGGUCUGCCUGUCUGAGAAAUGUUGGCAGUAUGACAACCAUAGGCAGCAGUAGUGGUAAUUGUUUCUGACCUUUGCUCUUCUGCUAGAGGGGCUCAUGACUGAGUGUGUAAUACUUAUUCUCAAGAAAAUCAACCUGACUGGGAGAAAAGAAACUUAUGACAACCAUUAUGAUCUCUUGCACAUUGUAGAGUAACAACUAAUCAUACAGACAAAGCCACACAGAACAAUGGUGAUAGCUCAGACAGAACAAUGGUGAUGGCUCAGAUAAGUCUCAACAUUAUUUGUAAAAUUGUGAUACUGAUGAGAUUCAGCCUGGAAAUGGAGUAUUGAAUUCUCCAGAUUUGUCACUGGCUGAAAUUAGGAAUGGCCUUUGCCUUGUUUUUUGCCUUUUGAGAAAUGAUGGCUUUCACUUUUCAGCUGAUUAUUUGACAGCACUGUUCGAAUCUGUUGUAUUUGUUGAAAAAAUAAGUAAAUAGUAUCUGCAGGUAAUUUGCAGAAGUUACCACUUAAAAUGUGAAUAUUGCAUUUAUUAUUAAUAAUGAGCUGAGCUGUAAUGACAUACCAUGAGCCAUGUCUUGUUUAAUUUUGCAAUAGCAAAUGAAAAAAAAAAAACAUUAGUGGUGUGCUAUGUAUGUGUAUCACCUUUUAAACAGUUCACUGUGUUCUAAACAUCUUACCAGUGAAGAUUUCAUAUCUCCAUCUGUCUUAGAAAAUGCUAGAGGUGAUGCCCCACACUGUGAUGAACGUAUGUAAAUAGGAGAGCUUGUGAGUCACAAUCAGACUACUUUCUGGUAUCUGUGUAAGUGACAACUUGUUAGUCACAAAUCAGACUGCUUUGUAAUCACAAUUUUAAGUGCACCAAUAACUAAACUGUUUAUUUUCCCUGUGUAAAUACUUGAAAGCCAAAAUAACAGAGAAAUCCUUCUUGCAGGAUUCUGGCUGAUGUAUGUUGCAUCUCCUUAGAAUGCUUGUGUUAAUAAUACAAGGAAGAAAAAGUCCUAACAUUUCUAUAAGAAAUGUCUUUUUGAUUUUUUUUUUUUUUUUUUUUUUUUUUUUGUUAAGCAAUUUUAAUUUUGAAUCCUCUUUCAAAACUGUGUACAUGUUCUUCAGAUUUUACAGAAUCCCAGGGUAAUGUGCGCUUUAAACAGACUGGUAGCAUCAUCAGAUGCCUGCUGUAGCCAUUUUGAAAUAAGUUUUGAGAAAGUUUAUAAAAUGUUACCCUAUGCCACCAUAUUUAUAAGGUCUUUUGGGCCAGUCAGAACAUUAUAUGUUUGUGUCCAAAAUCAAAUGACAUCUUAAUUUGACCAGUAGAAAAUAUGCACUACAAUAUUUGUUAUUGCUUUUCAUCGUUAUAAGCAUCUUCAACUUAGGAAGAAAAUAUUUGAUUUAAUAUUUAAUCCCAAAUGCUGACAAUGAUAAAUAAACAUUAAUAACUGGAGCU
rnacentral:misc_RNA from 1 species